CCUACGGGAGGCAGCAGUGAGGAAUAUUGGUCAAUGGGCGGGAGCCUGAACCAGCCAAGUCGCGUGAGGGAAGACGGUCCUAUGGAUUGUAAACCUCUUUAGGCGGGGAGCAAUGCAGGGCACGCGUGCCCGGAGGGAGAGUACCCGCAGAAUAAGCAUCGGCUAACUCCGUGCCAGCAGCCGCGGUAAUACGGAGGAUGCGAGCGUUAUACGGAUUUAUGGGGUUUAAAGGUUGCGUAGGCGGAUUUUUAAGUCAGCGGUAAAAUGUCCGGGCUCAACCCGGGCCGGCCGUUGAAACUGGGGAUCUUGAGUGGGCGAGAGGUAUGCGGAAUGCGUGGUGUAGCGGUGAAAUGCAUAGAUAGCACGCAGAACUCCGAUUGCGAAGGCAGCAUACCGGCGCCCGACUGACGCUGAGGCACGAAAGCGUGGGGAUCGAACAGGAUUAGAUACCCGAGUAGUC
rnacentral:rRNA from 1 species